AUUUACUUUUAAGCGCCAGAACUUAACAAUAACAGAAUUUUAUUAGUAGUAUUGGGGGUUAAGUUGACGAGGACAGAGUUAAUCGAUUUUUCGGCGGAUGCUCUGCGGUGUGUUUACCAUCGUUAAGGUUUUCUCAAAUCACGGAAGUGAUUCUGUGGACAAAGGAAAACUCAAGUAAGCUU
rfam:Terrisporobacter sp. 08-306576 Contig161, whole genome shotgun sequence.